UCCGUUGGUGAACCAGCGGAGGGAUCAUUA
rnacentral:rRNA from 82 species